GCAUUUGCUUUUUCGCAUUCCUCUCACCUGUUCUCUCUCCCCGUUGUGUUCCCAAACCUUCUCCGACGUAGUUCGUUUCCAAACUCCAUGAAGACUGGUUGGUUUUCUUGCUUUGUCUGUCAAAGCUUCAAUUUUUUUGUGUUCCUGAGCCUUCGUGGCUGUGCUUCCCCCGCCAUUUUUUAUUUUUAUCUCCAAAUUUCAUGGAUACAAGUUCGUUUUCUUGCUUGGUUUUCCCUCAUCCGAUUCUUCUAUGUUUUCUUUUUUUUACCUCUAUUUGCAUUUGUAUGUGUUUUUUAAUUUUGGUUUUUUGUUUUUUCAAUGCACGUUUGUUAUUUCUUCUAAAGCUGCGAUUUUUAUCUCAUAAAGCUUCGAUUUUUAUUUCCAAACUCCAUGUACACAGGUUCAUUUUCUUGCUUGGUUUUCCCUCAUCAGAUUCUUCUAUGUUUUCUUUUUUUACCUCUAUUUGCAUUUGCAUGCGUUUUUUCAUUUCGGUUUUUUGUUUUUUCACUGCAUGUUCAUUGUUUCUUCUAAAGCUGCGAUUUUUAUGUCAGAAAGCUUCGAUUUUUAUCUCCAAACUCCAUGUACACAGGUUCGUUUUCUUGCUUUCUCUAUCAAAGCUUAAAUUUUUUUGUGUUCCUGAGCUUUCUCGGUCGUGGUUCCCCCCAUUUUCGUUUUUUUUCUAAAAAAAAGCUUUGAUUUUUGCCUCUAUCCUUAUUGAUGUGGUUUUCAUGUGCUUCGUUUUCUGAAAAAGCUUUGAUUUUUGCCUCAACACAGGUUCAUUUUGUUGCUUUCUCUCUCAAAGUUUCAAUUUUUUUUUGUGUUCCUCAGUCUUCUCCGUCGUUGCUUUCUCUUGGUUUUCUUGCAUGUUGGGUUCAGAUCUGCGUUUUCUUUUUACCUCUUUUUUCAUUUGUAUGCAUUUUUUAUUUCGUUUUUUUUGUUUUUCACUGCAUGUUCAUUGUUUCUUCUAAACGUGUGAGGGUAUUGUGAUUCUUUUGUAUUUGGGUUUUUUGUUUUUCCUGUGCUUUGGCAUGUGAUUUUGAAAUUUCGAUUUAUUAUUUUUCACUGCAUGUUCAUGUUUCUUCUAAAGCUGUGAAGGUAUUGUGAUUCUUUUGUAUUUUGGUUUUUUGUUUUCCCUGUGCUUUGGCAUGUGGUUCUUUUAUUUCAGUUUUUUGUUUUUCACGGCAUGUUCAUGUUUCUUCUAAAGCUGUGAGGGUAUUGUCAUUCUUUUGUAUUUCGGUUUUUUGUGGUUCCUAUGCUUUGGCAUGUGAUUCUUUUAUUUCGGUUUUUUGUUUUUCACUGCAUGUUCAUGUUUCUUCUAAAGUUGUGAGGGUAUUGUCAUUCUUUUGUAUUUCGGUCUUUUGUUUUUGCUGUGCUUUGCCAUGUGGUUCUUUUAUUUCAGUUUUUUGUUUUUCACUGCAUGUUCAUGUUUCUUCUAAAGCUGUGAGGGUAUUGUGAUUCUUUUGUAUUUCGGUUUUUUGUGGUUCCUGUUCUUUGGCAUGUGAUUCUUUUAUUUCGGUUUUUUGUUUUUCACUGCAUGUUCAUGUUUCUUCUAAAGCUGUGAGGGUAUUGUCAUUCUUUUGUAUUUCGGUCUUUUGUUUUUCCUAUGUUUUGGCAUGUGAUUCUUUUAUCAGGAUGGUUACCUUAAAAUAUUGGGAGGGUAUUUGGAGAAAUCUAACAUGUUGAGGCAACCCUUCACAAGGCAAGAGAAACCUUUCAUCCAAACCUGUCUUCUUGCAUCCUCUGCAUAGCCUUUAGCGGUACCUUCUUUCUUUCAUUCUAUUGUAUGCCUUUGUGAAUUUCUUAAUGUUGUUGUCAUAGCUGUAGUGUUAUGAGUUGGUUAGUUUUUGUGAUUUGACAUCCUUUUUUUGGUUUUGUUUCAGAUUUUACAAUGUGAUAGUUCGUGUAUAUUAUAUUUGGUUGGACCUUUUGUAUCCAAUGUUGUUGUGUAAAUUGCUUAUUUGUGUUCUACCUCAGCUGUCAAUGACUUUUUUUCGUGCAAGUCUAUGAUUCACUUUUUUCCAUUUUUUGCUUCUACCUUUCCUGUGUAUUAUAUUAGGUUGUUUCCAUUGUUGUUUUUCCCCUUAUUCGUUUGAUUAUAUUUGUAGAUAAUAAUUUGUUUGCUUUUGUAGUAGUGGUACAUUUUGAAACACCUACUUAUUAUUUGUGUGUGUAUUCUGUUGUUUCAAAUAUUAAAGUGCACCUUUUGUAUCCAUUGCUGCUGAGUAGAUUGCUUAUUUGGGUUCUGUCUCGACUGUGAAUGACUUUUUUCGUGCAUGUCUAUGAUUAUUAAUUGAUUGGUGGGUUAUGCUCUGAAACAUGUUGCCCUUCGUAACUUAAAGUAUAUAUUAACUUAACCUUCACAAUAUCAUUCAGGUUGUUUACCUAAGCUGUCUAUGUCAGCUCUAAUCUUUGGUUACUUUGCUAUCUUUAGCAUAUGUUGGUUAUGAUUUUUUCCUGUAGAUGUUUCUCAAUGUUCAACACUACUUUGGUGCAUGUCUAUGAUUCUUUUUUCUUUAGACUUUAACUUUUUCUGUGUAUUAUAUUUGGGAGAGUAUUUGGAGAAAUCUAACAUGUUGCAAUAUUUGGAGAAAUCUAACAUGUUGAGACAACCCUUCACAAGGCAAGACAACACUGUCAUCCAAACCUGUGUUCUUGCAUCUUUUGCAUAGCCUUUACCGGUAACGUAUAGACGCCUACAAAAUCCCGUCAACAAAUUUUUUGAAAUUUGUGUUUAUACAGGGCCCAUCAAAUUUACGAGUACCGAGAAUUGUGCACCAAUUUGACGCGUCAUUCCAUCUUGAGCAGGUCACGGCUUUCACCCCUAAACAUUUACUUAUUUAUGUUAAUAUCAAAUAAAUAAUAUGCUUCAAAUGUUAAUCUGUAGAACGUCAUUGAGGUUCCUUUUGCUUAUCAUAGACAAUGGUCCGAAAAUUAUCCAAGUUAUGUGUUAUUCGACUACGAAGGAGACAAACACUUUAUAAAGCUUCAUAAAUAUGGUAACCGAUUCUUUUUUGGUGAUGGACUGAAGGAACUUAGGAGAACCCAUGGCAUUCAUGAAAGUGUUCUGAUGCGUUUUGUUGGAAGGGACAAAAAUACUACUUUCAGUGUGGACGUUGUGGGACCUCUACACCAAAGGGCAGCCACAACCAUAAGGCACCAUGUUUUUACCAUUGAUGUCUCUAAAGAUAUGAUACAACACAAUUAUCAAUUGGUUCUGCCACUAGAGGCUUCAAUUUAUUUAACUACAUCAAAAAAAUAUAUGAUUGUAGAUCGUGGUAGUGGUAGGCAUCACAAAUGGAUGAUCACCACGAAUAAUGGCCUAUCAUGUGUUGUUGACGCGUGGAUCCAUUAUUUAGGUGACUGUCAUUUGAAGCCUAGAGAUGAGGUCAUCUUCUUCUACAACAUUGACCAACAUGUAUGGGAGGUCCUCUAUAGGAAGCAAGUUAAAUGGGAUGCCGAAGAGGAUGAAGCUGAAUCCCCUUGAAGAAUUAUUUAAUUACUUAUCUUUGUUUUAUUUUGAUAUAUUAUGUUUGUAACUUAAUUACCCUCGGGUAAUGAACAAUUUUAUUUUACUUUUGUUUUUGUUUAAACAUUGCUAGCAACACUACAAAUAUUAUUCUGCUAUAUUCUAUG